CCUACGGGAGGCAGCAGUGAGGAAUAUUGGUCAAUGGGCGUAAGCCUGAACCAGCCAAGUCGCGUGAGGGAUGAAGGUUCUAUGGAUCGUAAAUCUCUUUUAUAAGGGAAUAAAGUGCGGGACGUGUCCCGUUUUGUAUGUACCUUAUGAAUAAGGAUCGGCUAACUCCGUGCCAGCAGCCGCGGUAUUACGGAGGAUCCGAGCGUUUUCCGGAUUUAUUGGGUUUAAUGGGUGCGUAGGCGGCCUGUUAAGUCAGCGGUGAAAGUCUGUGGCUCAACCAUUGAAUUGCCGUUGAAACUGGGAGGCUUGAGUAUGUUUGAGGCAGGCGGAAUGCGUGGUGUAGCGGUGAAAUGCUUAGAUAUCACGCAGAACCCCGAUUGCGAAGGCAGCCUACCAAGCCAUGACUGACGCUGAUGCACGAAAGCGUGGGGAUCAAACAGGAUUAGAUACCCCGGUAGUC
rnacentral:rRNA from 1 species